UAUGUGUGUGUUUGUGUCUGUGCAUAUGAGUGCAGUGCCUGAGGAGUCCAGCAGAGGGCAUUAGCUCCCUGGAGCUGCAGUUACAUGAAGUUAUGAACUGCUGGACAUGGGUGUUGGGAACGGAACUUGGGUCUCCUGGAAUUGCAGUUGAGCCAUCCCUACACUUCCUCAUUUUCUUUUUUUUUUUCUCUUUGGAGACAGGGUUUCUCUGUGUAGCCCUGUCUGUCCUGGAACUCACUCUGUAGACCAAGCUAGACUUGAAAUCAGAGCACUGCCUGCCUCUGCGUCCUAAGCACUGGGAUUAAAGGUGUGUGCCACCACUCCUGGCUCCCCCAUUUUCUUCAAACCCGGUUUUCAUUGUGUCUUUAAUGUCUCAGCUAAGCUUUCCAGUUCUAUAUCGUAUAACGUGGGAGUAUUUUGGCCUGGCAGACCUUUCCUACUUCUCCAGCCCGAAUGAUCUCCACAGGGUCCAGGACCGUCUGUGCAUCACCACCCCUACUCUGGGAAGGGUGAUCUUCUGCUAUCUGACUUUGAGGGAUACCUGUCCUGCCUCAUGGUUUCUGAGCAUUGUGUGAGACCCACCUUGCUGCAGCAGUUACUGCGUUGGCAGAGCCGUUUGCGCGGAGCAGCCCAUGGCUCCCGAACACAGCUCAUAAUAAGCAGCAGCCUCUGUGAUACCGGCUGACCUUGUGAGCCCGGACUCUGUGAUGUUGUGAUGGGGCCUGGCAUCCGCAAACGUCGUAGCCCGGACUCUGUGAUGUCGUGAUGGGGCCUGGCAUCCGCAAACGUCACAUGAUGCCUUUAUUUAUUCAAUGACAGUACCUUAUGAGGCUCCGGUUGGACUCAGACUUCUGCGUAGCUGAGGUCUUGAACGUCUAUCCUCCUGCCUCUGCCUCUGCCUCUUGAAUCCUGGGACCAUGGGUAUGUGCCACCAAGCCCGGCUCAUUUUUAUCAUGUUCAAAAAGCUCUCUGUGACCCUUUUAAUUUUGGAAAAAAGAAAUACUUGGACAAAUGUUUAGUUUUCUUUCUGUGUGUCUGAAUGCAUGCUGUGCAUGUAGGUGCCCGCGGAGGCCUGAAGAGGGAGUGGAUCUCCUGGAGCUGGAGUUAGAAGUGUUGUGAGCUGCUGUGUGGGUGCUGGGAACUGAAUCAAGUCCUCUGCAAGAACAGGCAGUGCUCUUAACUGCUGAGCCAUCACUCCAGCUCCUUUCCUGUGGUAUUUAGAAUGUUGGCUUUAAUGAGAAACAUGUUGCCCUUUCUUGAUUGUACCCUCCAGGAGUUCCUGUGCCUGAGUUCUGGUCUUGCCUCCUCUCCCUGCUCCCGCUCUGAGGAAACAGUUCUAUUGUCAUGCUGGUCAGUCCAGAAGGCUCUGGGGUGGCAUUAAAACUGGGUAUUUUACAAUGGAGCAUGGUUGCACAUGUGUAACCCCAGCACUCAGGCAGUAGAAAUUGGGUGAUCAGAAAUUUAAGCUUAUCCUCAGUUACAUAGUACAUUUGAGGCUAGCCUGGGCUACAUGGGACCUUGCCUUAAAAGGGGGUGAAGGGAAAGCAAUCACAACACUGUCAUUGGAGCUGGAGACAAGGCUCAGCUCACUGGUUUCUGCCGUGGUCCCAGGGCUGUGCUGCCUUUGUCCAUGUGGCUGAUACAGACGGAUCAGCAGUGGAGGAGCGGGGUCUUCUUACGUUGCCCUGCGCUGUCAGAAGGCUUGAGAGCAGCAGGUAGAUGGACGGACACACAGCAAGUCUGCUCAGUGAGCACUGUGGGAAGGUGACAUCUAGACCGUGCUCAUUUCAAUCUUGAGGACAUUGUCUGUUAGAGAAAAUCUUUCUCCUUGGGUCCGUGCUCACCGAGUAGAACCGGGCGGCUGAGCAGAGUAGAGCCUGCAGGCAGAGGUCUCUGGGUGCUUUCUCCCUUUCUUCCUGAGUGCCCAAUUGCAGAAGCUUUAGGUUGGUCUUGUGGAAGAUGUCUGUCUCCUAGCUGCAGACCCUUAGGUGCCCAUAAAGCCUGGGUAGUCCCUGUGAGGAGUUGACACAUGGGACCUGCCAUAGUCAGGGUUUCUAUUGCUGUGAUGAAACAUCGUGACUAGAAAGCAGGUUGAGGAGAAAAGGGUUUAUUUUUAUUUGGCUUACACUUCCACAUUGCUGUUCAUCACCAAAGGAAGUCAGGGCAGGAACCUGGAAGCAGGAGUUGAUGCAGAGGCCAGGUUGGGUGCUGUUUACUGGUUUGUUUACUGUCUUGUUUUCCGUGGCUUGCCCAGGAUAACCAGCCUAUAGGGGCCCCACACACAGUGGGCUGGCCCUCUCUCAUCAAUCACUAAUUAAGAAAAUACCCUAGCUAGGUGGUGGUGACUCACACUGUUAAUCCCAGCACUCAGGAGGCAGAGGCAGGCAGUUCUCUGUGAGUUUGAGGCCAGCCUGGUCUACAGGGUAAGUUCCAAAAAAGCCAGACCUACACAAAGAACCCCUGUCUUGAAAAGAUUCUGACUGACUGACUAAAUUAAU
rnacentral:lncRNA from 1 species